GGGGUUGUGGCUCAGUGGUAGAGCACGCGCCUUGCACGUGUGAGGCACCGGGUUUGAUCCUCAACACCA
rnacentral:tRNA from 1 species